rnacentral:rRNA from 1 species
AGCUCCAAUAGCGUAUAUUAAAGUUGUUGCAGUUAAAAAGCUCGUAGUUGGAUUUCUGGGGGGGUGCCAAUGUCCGCCCACGUGCGUGUGCAGCGGCGCCCUCUCAUCCUUCUGUUAACGCCUCUUGGCAUUCAUUUGCUGGUGGCGGGCUCAGAUAUUUUACCUUGAGAAAAUUAGAGUGUUUCAGGCAGGCUAGGCCGGAAUACAUUAGCAUGGAAUAAUGGAAUAGGACUACGGUCUCUUUGUUGGUUUGAGGGACUGCAGUAAUGAUUAAUAGGGAUAGUUGGGGGCAUUAGUAUUUAAUUGUCAGAGGUGGAAUUCUCGGAUUUGUUAAAGACUAACUUAUGCGAAAGCAUUUGCCAAGGAUGUUUUCAUUA